ensembl:lncRNA
CUUGUUUAGGACUUUGGAGGGCGACCGGUCAGACCAUCAUGCGCUGCACACAACAGUUACCCCCAUGGUGUGGUGGGCUCUGCUUGUUUUUAGCAAAUUGAUCCUGGCAGUGCUGAUGAGGAGCGUUUGAUCGGUGCUGAAUCCUUCCUGGUCUCUUCUGACCAGCUGGAAGGACUGCUAGUGGUUGAAAGGAGGGAACAGGUUUCUUGCCCAUCUACUGCUGUAAAACACGUUUCCCGUUUGAAAGGAACCAGUCAAGGUGUUCACAUGUUUACUUCUGCUUUAUAUUAAUAUUUGCGUCAGAGUCUAUAGAAAAGAAUGUUCUGCAGGCUGCUGUGUGGUGAUCUCAGAGAACUUGACGAAGACCUGCAUGCUUCAACACGAGACCGACAGGCACAGCGAGACUCCACAGCUGCCUCCUCUCUGUUCCCCCUUGGUCCUCCUCCCUGUUGGUGUUUCGGUUGGAUUACUUCCGACGAGUGCUGAGAGGUGUUGGAGUCGUACUCUGGUCCCACUGCAGAGGAAGCAAGCUUGGAUACAAAGACAGCGUUCUGCAGAAUAGUCAAGCUGUUUGACAUUGCUGAACAUAUUGCUAAACACGAGAAACUACACAGAAAUAAAAAUAAAAUGGAAUGAGUCUGAUUUAUGUUUUCUGUUGGUUUUGGUUAAAAAAAGCUAAGAAAACACUGUAGACUCCUGCCUAAAAGGCUUAUUGCUGCCAUUUGAUGACAAAUGCAAAAAAUGCCACCAAUUUCUUAUAAAAUGUGCCUGGUUUUCGGUCAGUGGGGGCCUGAAUAAUAUGUAACGUCCCUGUGCCCCGACGCGGACAGCGAAAGCUAUUAUGUGCCGGACCCGGACGCUCCUAAUUUGAUGCUGUUUCCGGUCUUUUCUUUCGGCGAUCGCCCGUCAAACGUAGGUUAUGUUAAUUCAUACAAGUCAACAAAUCUACGUGUCAAAUCUCAUGAAUACAUUUAAAUAGUUACAUGUCUGCCUACUGCAGGAAAGUUACUGUGCUGAGAAAGUAGUAAGACUCACUGGGGCGACGAUGAAAGAGCUUUUAUUGCGCUAUUUGGAGGUGUUGAAGCGUACCGGCCCCUUAAUGGUGUCGUACUGGUCUCCUUCUGGACUCGUACCGGCCCCUUAAUGGUGUCGUACUGGUCUCCUUCUGGAC